CUCAGAUUGAACGCUGGCGGCAUGCCUUACACAUGCAAGUCGAACGGCAGCACGGGAGCUUGCUCCUAGGUGGCGAGUGGCGAACGGGUGAGUAAUACAUCGGAACGUACCCUGAAGUGGGGGAUAACGUAGCGAAAGUUACGCUAAUACCGCAUAUUCUGUGAGCAGGAAAGAGGGGGAUCGCAAGACCUCUUGCUUUAGGAGCGGCCGAUGUCGGAUUAGCUAGUUGGUGAGGUAAAGGCUCACCAAGGCGACGAUCCGUAGCGGGUCUGAGAGGAUGAUCCGCCACACUGGGACUGAGACACGGCCCAGACUCCUACGGGAGGCAGCAGUGGGGAAUUUUGGACAAUGGGCGCAAGCCUGAUCCAGCCAUGCCGCGUGAGUGAAGAAGGCCUUCGGGUUGUAAAGCUCUUUCGGUGGGGAAGAAAUUGCUUCGGUUAAUACCUGGAGUAGAUGACGGUACCCGCAUAAGAAGCACCGGCUAACUACGUG
rnacentral:rRNA from 1 species